GCUGGGGCCGGAGCCGCGGCGGGGGUGGGGGUUGUUCGGCUCCGUCGUAAUCCGCGCGCGGGCGACUAGCCUUCUGCCCUUCGGAGGCUGGCUGAGAGCAAGAAUGGCCGAGGAGUCAGAAAAAGAAGAGGAGAUAUUGCUAUUUCAGGCUGUCCCUUUCCCCAAAUCACCAGAGUUUUACUGAAUUGUUGAAGAUCUCACUAAAUUGCUGAGGCUGGCCUCGAACUUCUGAUCCUUCUGCUUCAGCCUCCCAAGUCACUGGGAUCUCAGGUGGGCAUCACUGCAACUGGUCAAGAUGUCAUUUUUAAGGAGCUUGGCUGUGAAGGGCAUAAAGAGGGAAGUGCCUCAGAAGGACUGAUUACCCAGAGAAAAGGUUUAGAGAUAUGUAUGUAAUUUAGGAGCAAUACAAAGGGAGAGGCUGGAGAAUCAACCAGAGCAGAAAUAUAGGAUGCAGAGAGAACUCUGAGGAGGUAGAAUGAAGUGGGACCAAGAUAUUGAACAAAAGAAUCCACCCUGAGCCAGAAAAGAAAUGUCUUCUACUGAGGAGGAAGCAAUAUGGAAGAUAUAUACCGAAAAAUAUUAAAGUAAAAAGCAGAAAAUUGGGAACGUUUGAAACUGAAAUCUAUACCUUCUUCUGUGUCUUUGGAGCCACUGGCCCAAAUGGGUAUAUCCUCUACUCUAAACAGAGAAAGUAGGGAGUAAGAACCUAAAGAGAAGGUGACAUCAAAUAGAACAUUUGCCUUGAUUAAUAACUGAAAGCCCAACAUUGGGGAUUUAUUAUUUAAUUUUAUUGGCUUUAAGAAUAUAGGUGACUUAUUGGUUCAUUCAACUGAAAAGGUGGUGGGUGGGUGGUCAGUUGCACCAUAACUCUCUUGCUAAGAGCUGUUUUGGGUUCCCCUUCAGGGUGGCAGUAACAUUGCUGAGGAGUUCCAGGUCUCAGAAUCAUGUAUGAAAACUUCCAGGGCUAAGAAGCUAUUUCUUUCAGGUGUGCUCUUCCCAGAGUACCUAAGUUUUGUGCACAGAACUCCCCAGCAAACCUUCUUGUACACCUCAUUGGCCCAACUACUUUUCCUGGACGGUUUCUUGUGGCAAGGAAGUUCCCUUUGGUGGUUGGAUUACCAAGUGCUGGGUAAAUUCCUGAACCCAUCACUAACACAGCUGUGGACCAGCUGUUCUCAAGCAGAACUCUAGCAUGCAGGUGUGCAGUAGGCAUUUUGGAUUAUUAGAAUGAUUGCAAGUGGAGGCCAUGGUUGCUAAACUUCCUAAGAUGCAGGUGAUGGCCCUGAAGAGCAAAGAACUGGGCAGCCCCAUAUGCCAAUUGCACCUGAUGCUAGGAAAUACUGCUGUAGAAGAGAGACCUACUCUUGAAUUAGCUCACUGGUUCAUGGAAGGAUACCAAUGUCUGGACAAAAGUAUAGAAAGAAGGGGAAGCUGGUGCAGGGAAGGCAGCCAAUCCCAGCUACUAUAGAGAUCAUAGGCUUUGAAGCAGAGAGCCUGGGAUUUAAAUCUUGGCUCUGCUACUUUCAAGCUGUAUGAUCUUGGGCAGGUUAAUGAAGCUUUGAAAGCCUUACUUUCUUUAGUAAGUUUAAAAAAAGGAAUAAUAAUACCCACUCAUGAGAUUACUGAGAGAUUAAUGGAUAAAAAAAGAGUUUGAAAUGUUCUGGCUCAUAGAAGGGGCUCAAUGUCUGUUGAUUUCCUUUCUUCCUGUUCUUAUGUGUAUUAGUUUAUGGUGUAGCCACUUGAUAAAACCUGAAAGGAUCAGUACCUUGGCAUUUCCAACAAAUGUUUUUUUGAGGUGCUAAUAUCAUCUAAUGAGGGCAUGAGCCAUCAUUUAAACCAUUAGAUUAGGAACAUUACAGAUGGUCCCAGCACAAUGUGUUCAUGUCACAGAUGGCUCAUAAUAGCAAGUCUGUAUUAAUAAACAAGAAUAGACAUAACAGUUUGAGCUCUGGGCUUUCAUUUCUUUCUUAAAUAUACUAUUACUGUAUGAAAUAAAUAAAAUGUUUACGCAUACA